rnacentral:rRNA from 1 species
UAGGGAAUCUUCCGCAAUGGGCGAAAGCCUGACGGAGCAACGCCGCGUGAGUGAUGAAGGUCUUCGGAUCGUAAAACUCUGUUAUUAGGGAAGAACAAAUGUGUAAGUAACUAUGCACGUCUUGACGGUACCUAAUCAGAAAGCCACGGCUAACUACGUUCCAGCAGCCGCGGUAAUACGUAGGUGGCAAGCGUUAUCCGGAAUUAUUGGGCGUAAAGCGCGCGUAGGCGGUUUUUUAAGUCUGAUGUGAAAGCCCACGGCUCAACCGUGGAGGGUCAUUGGAAACUGGAAAACUUGAGUGCAGAAGAGGAAAGUGGAAUUCCAUGUGUAGCAGUGAAAUGCGCAGAGAUAUGGAGGAACACCAGUGGCGAAGGCGACUUUCUGGUCUGUAACUGACGCUGAUGUGCGAAAGCGUGGGGAUCAAACAGG